rnacentral:misc_RNA from 1 species
CGCACAUUGCGCCCUUUGGUAUUCCGAGGGGCAUGCCUGUUCGAGCGUCAUUUAAACCAUCAAGCACGCACCGCUUGGCCUUGGACCCGAGUCUCUAGAAAGCACCCGGUCCAAAACCUAGAGUGGCGUUCCCGUCGAGCCUCAAGCGUAGCAAGAAUUACUCCCUCGCUUCAAAGGCCCUGGACGGGACCGGCCCCGAAAAUCACCCCCAAAGUUUGGCCUCGGAUCAGGUAGGGAUACCCGCUGAACUUAA